rnacentral:rRNA from 1 species
GACGAACGCUGGCGGCGUGCCUAAUACAUGCAAGUAGAACGCUGAAGGAGGGGCUUGCUUCUCCGGAUGAGUUGCGAACGGGUGAGUAACGCGUAGGUAACCUGCCUGGUAGCGGGGGAUAACUAUUGGAAACGAUAGCUAAUACCGCAUAAGAGUAGAUGUUGCAUGACAUUUGCUUAAAAGGUGCAAUUGCAUCACUACCAGAUGGACCUGCGUUGUAUUAGCUAGUUGGUGGGGUAACGGCUCACCAAGGCGACGAUACAUAGCCGACCUGAGAGGGUGAUCGGCCACACUGGGACUGAGACACGGCCCAGACUCCUACGGGAGGCAGCAGUAGGGAAUCUUCGGCAAUGGACGGAAGUCUGACCGAGCAACGCCGCGUGAGUGAAGAAGGUUUUCGGAUCGUAAAGCUCUGUUGUAAGAG